rnacentral:rRNA from 1 species
GAUGAACGCUGGCGGCGUGCCUAACACAUGCAAGUCAAGCGAUUCUCUUCGGAGAAGAGCGGCGGCCGGGUGAGUAACGCGUGGGUAACCUGCCUCAUACACAUGGAUAACAUACCGAAAGGUGUGCUAAUACAAGAUGAUAUAAGAGAUUCGCAUGGAUUUCUUAUCAAAGCUCCGGCGGGUUGAGAUGGACCCGCGUCGGAUUAGCUAGUUGGUAAGGUAACGGCUUACCAAGGCGACGAUCAGUAGCCGACCUGAGAGGGUGAUCGGCCACAUUGGAAGUGAGACACGGUCCGAACUCCUACGGGAGGAAGCAGUGGGGAAUAUUGCAAAAUGGGCGAAAGCCUGAUGCAGCAACGCCGCGUGAGCGAUGAAGGCCUUCGGGUCGUAAAGCUCUGUCCUCAAGGAAGAUAAUGACGGUACUUGAGGAGGAAGCCCCGGCUAACUACGUGCCAGCCGCCGCAGUAAAAC